rnacentral:rRNA from 1 species
GCAAGCCUGAUGCAGCCAUGCCGCGUGUGUGAAGAAGGCCUUCGGGUUGUAAAGCACUUUCAGCGGGGAGGAAGGCGUUAAGGUUAAUAACCUUGGCGAUUGACGUUACCCGCAGAAGAAGCACCGGCUAACUCCGUGCCAGCAGCCGCGGUAAUACGGAGGGUGCAAGCGUUAAUCGGAAUUACUGGGCGUAAAGCGCACGCAGGCGGUCUGUCAAGUCGGAUGUGAAAUCCCCGGGCUUAACCUGGGAACUGCAUUCGAAACUGGCAGGCUAGAGUCUUGUAGAGGGGGGUAGAAUUCCAGGUGUAGCGGUGAAAU